rnacentral:lncRNA from 1 species
GAAAAUGAUCUUUGACAGUGGGACUUUAUAGAAGAAAUGCUUCGGCUCCCCCUUCAGAGCCCUCCAAUAGCUCCAUCUGUUUCAAGUGAUUCUACUCCUCCUGUCUUCAAGAAGAGUCAACCUGCCUGCAGUUAAUGGGAAUUUACAUUUUACUUUGAAGAAAGAAGCUACAAGAUAUAAUUGUACCAUUGUAGCCAUCAUAAAAACAUCAAAAAAAAAAUGUGAGAGAUGUACCAGAUUUCUUCUCUUCAUGCUGUUGAAGAACAAGAGGGUACUCAUUUCAUCCAACUAUAUAGACAGGAAAUAAAGCUUCAAGCAAACUUAAGAAAAGAGAAAAAAAAAUUCAAGCAGAGCCAGAUCAAAUACUUGCAUCCUAGUUAUGCCAAAGGAAUACAAGAGGAUUUUUUUAUUAAUAGUAGGUAUCCUAAGAGUACUAAGAAAUCACAUUCCUCACAAUUGAUGAUUCCCAGUGAUGGCCAGCUCUGAGUACCUCUAGCAAGUCUUGGUGAGUAUGCCUGCUCAAAGAU